AUAAAACCACAAUCGGUAAAUAGAAGACUGUUAAAUGAUAGAUAAUUAU
rnacentral:guide_RNA from 1 species